UCUAGUAUAAGCACUUUAUACUGUGAAACUGCGAAUGGCUCAUUAAAUCAGUUAUCGUUUAUUUGAUAGUACCUUACUACAUGGAUACCUGUGGUAAUUCUAGAGCUAAUACAUGCUGAAAACCUCGACUUCGGAAGGGGUGUAUUUAUUAGAUAAAAAACCAAUGCCCUUCGGGGCUCCUUGGUGAAUCAUAAUAACUUAACGAAUCGCAUGGCCUUGCGCCGGCGAUGGUUCAUUCAAAUUUCUGCCCUAUCAACUUUCGAUGGUAGGAUAGUGGCCUACCAUGGUGGCAACGGGUAACGGGGAAUGGGGCGGGGGCGGCGG
rnacentral:rRNA from 1 species